rnacentral:rRNA from 1 species
GAUGAACGCUGGCGGCGUGCUUAACACAUGCAAGUCGAACGAGAAUCUACGGAUAGAGGAUUCGUCCAAUUGAAGUAGAGGAAAGUGGCGGACGGGUGAGUAACGCGUGAGGAACCUGCCUAGGAGUGGGGAAUAACAGUCCGAAAGGACUGCUAAUACCGCAUAAUGCAGUUGGGUCGCAUGGCUCUGACUGCCAAAGAUUUAUCGCUCUUAGAUGGCCUCGCGUCUGAUUAGCUAGUUGGUAGGGUAACGGCCUACCAAGGCGACGAUCAGUAGCCGGACUGAGAGGUUGGACGGCCACAUUGGGACUGAGACACGGCCCAGACUCCUACGGGAGGCAGCAGUGGGGAAUAUUGGGCAAUGGGCGCAAGCCUGACCCAGCAACGCCGCGUGAAGGAAGAAGGCUUUCGGGUUGUAAACUUCUUUUAUCAGGGACGAAACAAAUGACGGUACCUGAUGAAUAAGCCACGGCUAACUACGUGCCAGCCGCCGCUGUAAGAC